GACAGAGGGUGCAAACGUUGUUCGGAAUUACUGGGCGUAAAGCGCGUGUAGGCAGUUUCGCAAGUCGGGUGUGAAAGCCCUGGGCUCAACCUAGGAAGUGCACUCGAAACUGCGAGACUUGAGUUCUGGAGAGGAAGGCGGAAUUCUCGGUGUAGAGGUGAAAUUCGUAGAUAUCGAGAGGGACACCGGUGGCGAAGGCGGCCUUCUGGACAGUGACUGACGCUGAGACGCGAAAGCGUGGGGAGCAAACAGG
rnacentral:rRNA from 1 species